rnacentral:rRNA from 1 species
AGAGUUUGAUCCUGGCUCAGGAUGAACGCUGGCGGCGUGCCUAACACAUGCAAGUCGAACGGAGUUAAAGGAGCUUGCUCCUUUAGCUUAGUGGCGGACGGGUGAGUAACGCGUGGGUAACCUACCUCAUACAGGGGGAUAACAGCUGGAAACGGCUGCUAACACCGCAUAAGAUUGUAGUGCCGCAUGACAUAGCAAUCAAAUAUUUAUAGGUAUGAGAUGGGCCCGCGUCUGAUUAGCUAGUUGGCGGUGCAACGGACCACCAAGGCGACGAUCAGUAGCCGGCUUGAGAGAGUGACCGGCCACAUUGGGACUGAGACACGGCCCAAACUCCUACGGGAGGCAGCAGUGGGGAAUAUUGGGCAAUGGGGGCAACCCUGACCCAGCGACGCCGCGUGAGUGAAGAAGUAUUUCGGUAUGUAAAGCUCUAUCAGCAGGGAAGAUAAUGACGGUACCUGACUAAGAAGCCCCGGCUAACUACGUGCCAGCAGCCGCGGUAAUACGUAGGGGGCAAGCGUUAUCCGGAUUUACUGGGUGUAAAGGGAGCGUAGGCGGCGCUGCAAGUCAGAUGUGAAACCCCGGGGCUUAACCCCGGGACUGCAUUUGAAACUGCGCGGCUGGAGUACCGGAGAGGAAGGCGGAAUUCUUGGUGUAGCGGUGAAAUGCGUAGAUAUCAAGAAGAACACCGAUGGCGAAGGCAGCCUUCUGGACGGAUACUGACGCUGAGGCUCUAAAGUCAGGGGAGCAAACAGGAUUAGAUACCCUGGUAGUCCUGACCAUAAACGGUGUGCACUUGGUGUGCGG